rnacentral:rRNA from 1 species
AGUCGAGCGAACAGAUAAGGAGCUUGCUCCUUUGACGUUAGCGGCGGACGGGUGAGUAACACGUGGAUAACCUACCUAUAAGACUGGGAUAACUUCGGGAAACCGGAGCUAAUACCGGAUAACAUAUUGAACCGCAUGGUUCAAUAGUGAAAGGCGGCUUUGCUGUCACUUAUAGAUGGAUCCGCGCCGUAUUAGCUAGUUGGUAAGGUAACGGCUUACCAAGGCAACGAUACGUAGCCGACCUGAGAGGGUGAUCGGCCACACUGGAACUGAGACACGGUCCAGACUCCUACGGGAGGCAGCAGUAGGGAAUCUUCCGCAAUGGGCGAAAGCCUGACGGAGCAACGCCGCGUGAGUGAUGAAGGUCUUCGGAUCGUAAAACUCUGUUAUCAGGGAAGAACAAAUGUGUAAGUAACUGUGCACAUCUUGACGGUACCUGAUCAGAAAGC